rnacentral:rRNA from 1 species
CCCUUAGAUGCUCUGGGCCGCACGCGCGCUACACUGGUCGAUGCAACGAGUUUCUUUCCUUGGCCGACAGGCCUGGGCAAUCUUUGAACAUCGAUCGUGAUCGGGAUAGAUUCUUGUAAUUUUUGAUCUUAAACGAGGAAUUCCUAGUAAACGCAAGUCAUAAGCUUGCGUUGAUUACGUCCCUGCCCUUUGUACACACCGCCCGUCGCUACUACCGAUUGAACGUUUUAGUGAGGUAUUUGGACUGGACCUUCGGAGGUUCGCGCCUCCGUUGCUGUUCGGGAAGACUCCCAAACUUGAGCGUUUAGAGGAAGUAAAAGUCGUAACA